UCCAGACUCCUACGGGAGGCAGCAGUCGGGAAUAUUGCGCAAUGGAGGAAACUCUGACGCAGUGACGCCGCGUAUAGGAAGAAGGUUUUCGGAUUGUAAACUAUUGUCGUUAGGGAAGAAAAAAGACAGUACCUAAGGAGGAAGCUCCGGCUAACUACGUGCCAGCAGCCGCGGUAAUACGUAGGGAGCAAGCGUUAUCCGGAUUUACUGGGUGUAAAGGGGGCGCAGACGGCAGCGCAAGCCAGGAGUGAAAGCCCGGGGCCCAACCCCGGGACUGCUCUUGGAACUGCGCGGCUGGAGUGCAGGAGGGGCAGGCGGAAUUCCUGGUGUAGCGGUGAAAUGCGUAGAUAUCAGGAGGAACACCGGUGGCGAAGGCGGCCUGCUGGACUGCGACUGACGUUGAGGCCCGAAAGCGUGGGGAGCAAACAGGAUUAGAUACCCCGGUAUU
rnacentral:rRNA from 1 species